GAGGGUAGAGCUCAGUGGUAGAGCUCAUGCUUAGCAUGCAUGAGGUCCUGGGUUCAAUCCCCAGUGCCUCCA
rnacentral:tRNA from 1 species